ensembl:lncRNA
AUGUCCCCCCACGGCGGUCAAUCACUCGAGUUAAUACAACCUCUGUCCAUCCGGGCCUCACAAUGGCAAGCCAUUCCCGGGGUAUCAGAUUGGGUCAUGGGAGUAAUAAAACACGGCUAUUCCCUUCAGUUCGCACGACGGCCACCACGCUUUCGCGGGGCGGUCACCACUUCAGUGCACAACGAGAACGCUCACGUUCUUCGUGCCGAAGUGAAAAAUCUGCUGGUGAAGGGAGCUAUAGAAAUCGUUCCCCCAGCACACCGCGACUCAGGGUUUUACAGCCGUUACUUCCUGGUUCCCAAGAAGGAUGGUGGGCUGCGCCCCAUCCUCGAUUUAAGACAUCUGAACCGUGCCCUCAUGAGACGGCGCUUCAGAAUGAUCACAUUGAAACAAAUCCUCUCGCAAAUACGCUCAGGGGAUUGGUUCUUUUCGCUGGAUCUGAAAGACGCUUACUUUCACAUCCAGAUAGCCCCCCGUCACAGGCCGUUCUUGAGAUUUGCCUUCGAGGGCGUGGCUUACCAAUACAAGGUCCUCCCCUUUUGGCUGUCUCUGGCGCCUCGCACGUUCACAAAGUGCAUGGAUGCGGCUCUCUCCCCUCUCAGGCAGAAGGGCAUCCGCAUUCUCAAUUACCUCGACUACUGGCUAGUUCUAGCUCAGUCAGAGGGGGAGGCAUUGGGUUACAGAACUGUGCUCCUCAGCCAUCUGGAAUGCCUGGGGCUCAGGGUGAACUUUGUCAAGAGCUCACUGUCCCCCAGCCGGCGGAUAUCGUUUCUGGGAACAGUGUUAGACUCAGUGACAGUGAGGGCAACAAUGGUGAAGGAGCGCGCUGCGGCACUACAGCGACUUGCGGCCUCUUUCAAAAUAGGUGCUUCUCGACCCAUAAAGACAUUCCAGAAGCUGCUGGGUCUUAUGGCGGCGGCAUCGCCGGUGCUGGAGCUCGGGCUGCUUCGUAUGCGCCCCCUCCAAUAUUGGCUGAAACCACGUGUUCCACCUCAUGCAUGGCGUCACGGACGCUUGAAUAUCAAGGUGAGUCAGGACUGUAUUUCGGCCCUGACCCCUUGGAGGGACAUGCAAUGGAUGGAACGGGGUGCUCCACUUGGUAUGGUUUGCAGAAGGAAAGUGAUCUCCACAGACGCGUCCAACAAGGGUUGGGGCGCGCUGUGCGAAGGGAAACCCGCUUUCGGCCAAUGGUCGAAAGAGGAGAGCAGGCUUCACAUCAACUGCCUCGAGAUGAUUGCAGUUCAACGAGCCUGCCAGAGCUUCCUGUCAGACCUAAAGAGCCACCACGUGCUGGUCAGAUCGGACAGCAUGACGGUGGUCUCUUAUAUAAAUCACCAAGGUGGGCUGUCGUCGACGCGUCUCUUCAGACUGACGUCGCGACUGCUGGAAUGGACCCAAAGCAAUUUGGGGUCCCUGAGAGCAGUGCAUCUUCCGGGCAAGCUGAACAAGGGCGCGGAUAUGCUGUCAAGAAGCGGAGUCUCCUCAGAAGAGUGGAGACUCCACCCGCAGACGGUUCAGAAGAUAUGGGAGGUCUUUGGCAGAGCGGAAAUAGACCUCUUUGCCUCAAAAGACAACUCUCAUUGCCCAAUAUAUUUUUCCAAGAUCAAGGACGCGUUGUCCCAGGACUGGCCCAACCGUCUUCUUUAUGCUUUUCCUCCGGUCCCUCUGAUUCCCCAAGUAAUCAGGCGGGUCAGGGACCAGAGAUGCAGGGUUCUGCUUGUAGCCCCAUUCUGGGAAAAUCAGCACUGGAUAGCCGACCUGUCGCAGAUGCUGACUCCCAUGGCCCGUUCCCCUGAGACGGGACCUCCUUUCUCAGGCGGACGGGACGAUUUGGCAUCCACACCCAGAGAAGUGGUCUCUGCACAUUUGGUCGCUCGACGGGAGCCCGCGGGACUCCCUGAGCGUGUGCUAGACACAAUUUCACAGGCUAGAGCUCCGUCUACACGACGCCUCUAUGCCUCCAAAUGGUCUGUGUUCUCCACAUGGUGUUCAGACCAUGGUGAGAGCCCGACCUCUUGUGACGUAUCAGUGAUACUGUCAUUUUUGCAAGAGCUCUUGGAGAAGGGACGAUCCCCCUCCACGCUCAAGGUCUAUGUAGCAACUAUAGCGGCAUCACACGCCCUUAUAGCAGGCCAGUCGGUGGGCAGAAACGACUUAGUCGUCCGAUUUAUGAGAGGUGCCAGACGGCUUCAUCCGCCUUGCCCUCCCACCGUCCCUUCUUGGGACCUGCCCACGGUGCUGAGAGCCCUGAAGGGGGCCCCCUUUGAACCGCUACAGUCCAUAGGCCUUAAAGCCCUGUCGCUAAAGACCGCUCUGCUAUUGGCACUAGCGUCUGUUAAGCGUGUGGGUGAUUUGCAAGCACUUUCGAUGAGCCCUAAUUGCCUAGAAUUCGGGCCUAACGACUCGAGGGUCGUCCUGAAACCGAGGCAUGGCUAUGUGCCAAAGGUGCUCUCCACACCUUUUAGAGCACAGGUGGUCACCCUCUCUGCGUUACAAAACACAGAGGAGGAUCCAGGGCUGAAUCUACUUUGCCCAGUGAAGGCUCUAAAAGUCUACAUAGAGCGUUCUGCACCAAUAAGACGAUCAGAACAGCUCUUCAUAUGCUUUGGAAACCGCACCAGAGGGUUACCGGUCUCUAAGCAAAGACUUUCAAGGUGGAUUGUGGAUGCAAUCCAGCUAGCCUACUCUUCUUUGGGCCUGCAAAGCCCAAUUGGAGUAAGAGCCCAUUCGACGAGAGCAGUGUCUUCGUCUUGGGCAUGGUCUAAUGGUGUGACUAUCGCAGAAAUUUGUGAGGCGGCUGGCUGGAGCUCGCCGUCCACAUUUGCUAGAUUUUACAAUCUAGAUGUCCCAGCGCUUCAUGCUAGGGUACUUUCUGUGUGA